rnacentral:rRNA from 1 species
UACGGGGGGGGCAAGCGUUGUUCGGAAUUACUGGGCGUAAAGGGCUCGUAGGCGGCCAACUAAGUCAGACGUGAAAUCCCUCGGCUUAACCGGGGAACUGCAUCUGAUACUGGAUGGCUAGAGAUUGGGAGAGGGAUGCGGAAUUCCAGGUGUAGCGGUGAAAUGCGUAGAUAUCUGGAGGAACACCGGUGGCGAAGGCGGCAUCCUGGACCAACACUGACGCUGAUGAGCGAAAGCCAGGGGAGCAAACGGG